ACGCUGGCGGUAUGCCUAACACAUGCAAGUCGUACGAGAGUUUUUAACUCUAGUGGCGGACGGGUGAGUAACACGUGAGAAUUUGCCUUUGGGAGGGGGACAACAAUUGGAAACGAAUGCUAAUACCCCAUAUGCUUUCGAGUGAAAUGGAUUUUAUCCGCCUAGAGAGAAGCUCGCGGCUGAUUAGCUAGUUGGUAAGGUAACGGCUUACCAAGGCGACGAUCAGUAGGGGGCGUGAGAGCGUGGCCCCCCACACGGGUACUGAGACACGGACCCGACUCCUACGGGAGGCAGCAGUAAGGAAUAUUGGUCAAUGCCCGGAAGGGUGAACCAGCCAUGCCGCGUGAAGGAUGACUGCCCUCUGGGUUGUAAACUUCUUUUGGAUGGGACGAAAAAACGGGAUUUAUCCUGGACUGACGGUACCAUCAGAAUAAGCACCGGCUAACUCCGUG
rnacentral:rRNA from 1 species